rnacentral:rRNA from 1 species
GGAAUCUUGCACAAUGGGCGAAAGCCUGAUGCAGCCAUGCCGCGUGAAUGAUGAAGGCCUUAGGGUUGUAAAAUUCUUUCGCCAGGGAUGAUAAUGACAGUACCUGGUAAAGAAGCCCCGGCUAACUUCGUGCCAGCAGCCGCGGUAAUACGAAGGGGGCUAGCGUUGUUCGGAAUUACUGGGCGUAAAGCGCGCGUAGGCGGGCUAUUAAGCCAGAUGUGAAAGCCCGGGGCUCAACCUCGGAAUUGCAUUUGGAACUGGUAGCCUAGAGACCAGGAGAGGUUAGCGGAAUACCGAGUGUAGAGGUGAAAUUCGUAGAUAUUCGGUGGAACACCAGUGGCGAAGGCGGCUAACUGGACUGGUACUGACGCUGAGGCGCGAAAGUGUGGGGAGCA